AUGCACGCUGGCGGCGUGCCUCAUCCAUGCAAGUCGCGCGAACGGACGAGAAGCUUGCUUCUCUGAUGUUAGCGGCGGACGGGUGAGUAACACGUGGAUAACCUACCUAUAAGACUGGGAUAACUUCGGGAAACCGUAGCUAAUACCGGAUAAUAUUUUGAACCGCAUGGUUCAAAAGUGAAAGACGGUCUUGCUGUCACUUAUAGAUGGAUCCGCGCUGCAUUAGCUAGUUGGUAAGGUAACGGCUUACCAAGGCAACGAUGCAUAGCCGACCUGAGAGGGUGAUCGGCCACACUGGAACUGAGACACGGUCCAGACUCCUACGGGAGGCAGCAGUAGGGAAUCUUCCGCAAUGGGCGAAAGCCUGGCGGAGCAACGCCGCGUGAGUGAUGAAGGUCUUCGGAUCGUAAAACUCUGUUAUUAGGGAAGAACAUAUGUGUAAGUAACUGUGCACAUCUUGACGGUACCUAAUCAGAAAGCCACGGCUAACUACGUG
rnacentral:rRNA from 1 species